rnacentral:rRNA from 1 species
GACGUAGGGCGCGAGCGUUGUCCGGAUUUAUUGGGCGUAAAGAGCUCGUAGGCGGCUUGUCGCGUCGUCCGUGAAAACCUGCGGCUCAACUGCGGGCCUGCAGUCGAUACGGGCAGGCUAGAGUUCGGUAGGGGAGACUGGAAUUCCUGGUGUAGCGGUGAAAUGCGCAGAUAUCAGGAGGAACACCGGUGGCGAAGGCGGGUCUCUGGGCCGAUACUGACGCUGAGGAGCGAAAGCGUGGGGAGCGAACAGG